UACGGAGGAUGCGAGCGUUAUCCGGAUUUAUUGGGUUUAAAGGGUGCGCAGGCGGCACGACAAGCCGGCGGUCAAAUCGCGGGGCUCAACCCCGCCCAGCCGUCGGAACUGCCGGGCUAGAGUGGGCGAGAAGUGCGCGGAAUGCGUGGUGUAGCGGUGAAAUGCAUAGAUAUCACGCAGAACUCCGAUUGCGAAGGCAGCGCACCGGCGCCCUACUGACGCUCAGGCACGAAAGCGUGGGUAUCGAACAGG
rnacentral:rRNA from 1 species